rnacentral:rRNA from 1 species
CACGCAGGCGGUUUGUUAAGUCAGAUGUGAAAGCCCCGGGCUCAACCUGGGAACUGCAUUUGAUACUGGCAAACUAGAGUAUGAGAGAGAGAGGUGGAAUUCCACAUGUAGCGGUGAAAUGCGUAGAGAUGUGGAGGAACAUCAGUGGCGAAGGCGACUUCUUGGCUCAAUACUGACGCUCAGGUGCGAAAGCGUGGGGAGCAAACAGGAUUAGAUACCCUGGUAGUCC